GGCACUCAUGAAGGAAAAAGAGGAUCCAGGGAGAGGAACUUGUCUGAGGACUGGGGUAGGGCUGAACAGCUGCAUUCGAGACUGGUGGAGGGUGGGCUGGGCAUGGGAUGCACAAACGGAAAUUCAACUGGGUCUGCAGCUCACACAUAGGCAUGACCAGCAUAGAGAUAGAGAGGCCCCAGUGCUGCUGAGUAACUGUGAUUCCCCAGGUGAUGGCAUCAGCUGAGAAGGGAAGGAAGCCCAUGUGAGGACACUGAAGAAGGAGUGAGCAGACAAUAAGAAGCCCACAGAAGACAGAGAAGGAACAACUAGAGGGAGAAGCCAAGGCAGGCGUGUGUGGUAACAUAUAGGAACUGAGGGAGAGGACAUUUCAAGAUGGAGGGGAUGCCAUACAACAGGACUAUGUGAUGGUUUUUGGCUGUGUCCAUAGGAAGUCACAACAGGCAAGGGAAAGAAACCAGAACUCAGUCAUGGAGUUAAGAAGUGAGUCAGAGAGGAGAUGGGUAGGGACAGUGAGGUAAGGCCUCUUUUUAAGGAAGUUUGGCUGAAGGAUAGACUAGCUGGACACAUGCUGGCUGUGUGGGGUAGAGGGAGGAAUGAUGGAGGGUAGGAGAGCCUUGAGCCUACGAGAAGAGUCUCCUAGAAUAGAGAAGCUGAGGUUAAAGUUGUGGAAGAGAGUGGGGAUAACUGAGUGACAGAUAAUCAGGAGAAGAAAAGGAGAUCCAGAAUCAUGACAGAGAGAUGACCUUUGCCAAGAGCACAGCCGUCUUUCACUGUCACAGACAGGUAGGACAAAACAACUGGUGUUCAAGAGUUGGUUUGUAGCACAGUAUUUUAACUAUGUCCUUUAAAAAGUUUCUCCACAGACACUACUCAAAGCAGUCCUUCACUACAGUGGCAGACAGACCUGAAAAUUUUCACCUGAAGCAGCAGAGUGAACUGCAGAGUCAGAGAUAGAAUCUCACUGUGUUGACCAGGCUAGUCUUGAACUCUUGGCCCCCAAGCGAUCCUUUUGUCUGGAAUCCCAAAGUGUCAGAUUUACUGAAGAAUAUUUCAUUGUAAUUACUUUUUAUACCUUAUAAGUCAAGAGCUCUGUUUUAAAGACAAAAUUUAUUGAAUAUACUUCUUCAAACAAA